GAUGAACGCUGGCGGCGUGCCUAAUACAUGCAAGUCGAGCGAACGGACGAGAAGCUUGCUUUUCUGAUGUUAGCGGCGGACGGGUGAGUAACACGUGGAUAACCUACCUAUAAGACUGGGAUAACUUCGGGAAACCGGAGCUAAUACCGGAUAAUAUUUUGAACCGCAUGGUUCAAAAGUGAAAGACGGUCUUGCUGUCACUUAUAGAUGGGUCCGCGCUGCAUUAGCUAGUUGGUAAGGUAACGGCUUACCAAGGCAACGAUGCAUAGCCGACCUGAGAGGGUGAUCGGCCACACUGGAACUGAGACACGGUCCAGACUCCUACGGGAGGCAGCAGUAGGGAAUCUUCCGCAAAGGGCGAAAGCCUGACGGAGCGACGCCGCGUGAGUGAUGAAGGUCUUCGGAUCGUAAAACUCUGUUAUUAGGGAAGAACAUAUGUGUAAGUAACUGUGCACAUCUUGACGGUACCUAAUCAGAAAGCCACGGCUAACUACGUG
rnacentral:rRNA from 1 species